rnacentral:lncRNA from 1 species
UUAACGUUAAAUUUUAUUUUAUUUUCAAACAUUAAAAACGCUUCUUAAAAUCAUUAUCAAAUACAUUCAAAGUGUUCUUCACUCCACACUAGAAUUCAAAGAUAGAAUAGAACACAAAUUGUAUUGAAAUAACUUCAAAAAUUCUUGAGUCAAGGAACAGAUCUAGUAUAUGUUUCUUACACAUCUUACAAUGAAAAGAAAAAAAAAUGGAAGAGAAAAAUUGAAUAUACUUUGCACAAGAAAAAAGAAAGAAAGAAAAAAAGGGGGAAGAAAAUGAGUGGGAAGUAGGAGGGAGAGAGGCUCAAACUCAUCAUCACUUUCCUUGCGCAGGCCUGUGAAUAAGAAAAUACAUGUACAUGAUCUCAUUCAUCAUCGUCUUCUUAUUGCUAUAAAACACGAAAUAGCAGCCAUUAUCACAGUCAUCGCAAGCCAACUCACGUCGUCAAAGAUGGCUGAAAACCUCAUCUCCUGCAGAUCCCACAGAGUUGAUAUACAGAAGCUCAUCCCAUCAACCAUCCCCAUCAAAAUAUCCAUUAAUAUUAAUUUUCUCUCUCCCCAAACACCUCCACCCACUUCAACACAUAUAAGUAUAUAUCAACACAAAAAGAAGACCAGCUCACUUCAAACAACCAUACAUAUAUACUCAACCUUUUUCAGAGCCGUACUGUGUGAUGAGUUAAGAGAAAGGAGUCCAUCUCAAUUACCAUAUACCACUUGUGUGUGUUUUUGAGCUCCUUCCUGGAUGCUUCCUUCACAUUUCUGCAGGCUUCACUGUGGGUCCUCCCAGUUUAACUUCACCUCCAAAUUCA